AAAUAGAACUUUGCAGAGAGAGUUAACAGGGCGUGAAACCGUUAAUUGGCAAACGAAUCGGAGCCACGAAGUCGUUUCGCUGAUAAUUGGGGCUAGUUCAGCUUAGGAAUCAAAAAAUUCUCAGGUGUAUUCUAGUUCCAAUCUUCUUUGUAAGCGUACACUGCAACCAGUUAGACAAUUGGUGAUGGGAAUAGUUGCUCGUGUUAGUAGUAGCGUGGUAACUCUCGGGUUAUUCAUGUUGCUGGAUGCGUGGCAAGUGAACUAUUACCAAAGACUGACUGGCAAAAUGAUAAUCACUCUAUGAGUGUUUCUAUAGAAUGCGGUUUGUUGUAUAUCCAUCUACAUGCUUGACCAUUUGGUUUUAAGCUCAACAUUUUUGAAUUUGGACUUGCGGGCUAUCAAUGGGGCAACUCUUGAUGCUCGUAUAGCCUCCAUCUAAUCGGGUGUUGACUUGACUGAGUGUUGUUCAAGUAUGAGACGAUUGGGUGGAUAUAUAAAUGAAUUCGCCAUUUAUUGGCAGUGAGUAGGUCGGCUUUCCGAACGACCCGUCUUGAAACACGGACCAAGGAGUCUAAUUAGGUAUCGAGUCGAUCGGUCUUGAAUAGGCCAGAAUUAGAGGAAUAUUCCUCUUGAAGGCGUAGAGACAUGUGAUCAAGGGGAAAUACCAUCCCUUGUGCGCAACAUGUGCCUGUUCGUAUAACAAUGUGCAAGAUUGUUGGCGGAGUAAAGAGAUACCUGAUUGGUACCCGAAAGAUGGUGAGCUUGGGCAAAUUGAAGCCAGAGGAAACUCUGGUGGAGGAUUGUAGCGAUUCUGACGUGCAAAUCGAUCGUCAGACCUGAGUAUAGGGGCGAAAGACUAAUCGAACCAUC
rnacentral:rRNA from 1 species